GAUGAACGCUGGCGGUGUGCCUAAUACAUGCAAGUCGAGCGAACAGACGAGGAGCUUACUCCUCUGACGUUAGCGGCGGACGGGUGAGUAACACGUGGAUAACCUACCUAUAAGACUGGGAUAACUUCGGGAAACCGGAGCUAAUACCGUAUAACAUGUUGAACCGCAUGGUUCAACAGUGAAAGACGGUCUUGCUGUCACUUAUAGCUGGAUCCGCGUCGCAUUAGCUAGUUGGUAAGGUAACGGCUUACCAAGGCAACGAUGCGUAGCCGACCUGAGAGGGUGAUCGGCCACACUGGAACUGAGACACGGUCCAGACUCCUACGGGAGGCAGCAGUAGGGAAUCUUCCGCAAUGGGCGAAAGCCUGACGGAGCAACGCCGCGUGAGUGAAGAAGGUCUUCGGAUCGUAAAACUCUGUUAUUAGGGAAGAACAAAUGUGUAGGUAACUAUGCACGUCUUGACGGUACCUAAUCAGAAAGCCACGGCUAACUACGUG
rnacentral:rRNA from 1 species